GAUGAACGCUGGCGGCGUGCCUAAUACAUGCAAGUCGAGCGAACGGACGAGAAGCUUGCUUCUCUGAUGUUAGCGGCGGACGGGUGAGUAACACGUGGAUAACCUACCUAUAAGACUGGGAUAACUUCGGGAAACCGUAGCUAAUACCGGAUAAUAUUUUGAACCGCAUGGUUCAAAAGUGAAAGACGGUCUUGCUGUCACUUAUAGAUGGAUCCGCGCUGCAUUAGCUAGUUGGUAAGGUAACGGCUUACCACGGCAACGAUGCAUAGCCGACCUGAGAGGGUGAUCGGCCACACUGGAACUGAGACACGGUCCAGACUCCGACGGGAGGCAGCAGUAGGGAAUCUUCCGCAAUGGGCGAAAGCCUGACGGAGCAACGCCGCGUGAGUGAUGAAGGUCUUCGGAUCGUAAAACUCUGUUAUUAGGGAAGAACAUAUGUGUAAGUAACUGUGCACAUCUUGACGGUACCUAAUCAGAAAGCCACGGCUAACUACGUG
rnacentral:rRNA from 1 species